GUUGCAGAAUUUAGUCUUGGAUGGCAUGUUAAACACCUCCAAACACUACUAAUCAACUGUGAUAAGGUCUAAUAUUACAUUAGUUUGAAUCUAAGUGAUGCUUCCCAUGCCAAUACGACACAACGUUGUUAUGGUGAUCCCAGAAGCCAGCUAUCUGCUUUCAUUUGCUGAUUAAGUGUAAAGAUAGGAGAAUAAUACUACUCAUUACAAUAGUUAAUGAAAAGUUGAUGAGGAAGUACUAAAAUCAAACAGUUCCACAAACUUCAGUUAUUAUCUAAGGCCAUGAAAGGCACAGUAGUUCUAAACAUCCACGCGUUCCAUUGACAAAGACAAUCACUGAACUUAGAAUUCAAAUGAUAGAAGAUACAUAGCUAGGUUCAGGUUUUGAUAGCGAGUGCACAAGCACAGCAAGCAUAGUACUUAAAACCAAAUACGAAUUUCAAACCCCUUACUACUGUGGAGAAGAAUCUGGCUGGCCCACUGAUGAAGACUUUGAUGCUUCCAUUACAACAUGAGCUUGAUCCAAACAGCUUUGAGUAUCAUCACCAAUAACUCCAAUGGUCAUCUUCUCCACUUCUUCUUGAGUAUAUAUAUGGAUCUUGGAUACCACAUUACAGAACUCAUGCCAUGGAUC
rnacentral:misc_RNA from 1 species